rnacentral:rRNA from 1 species
AUUGAACGCUGGCGGCAUGCCUUACACAUGCAAGUCGAACGGUAGCGGGCCUUCGGGUGCCGACGAGUGGCGAACGGGUGAGUAAUGUAUCGGAACGUACCUUUCAGUGGGGGAUAACGUAGCGAAAGUUACGCUAAUACCGCAUAUUCUGUGAGCAGGAAAGCAGGGGAUCGCAAGACCUUGAGCUGAUUGAGCGGCCGAUAUCAGAUUAGCUAGUUGGUGAGGUAAAGGCUCACCAAGGCGACGAUCUGUAGCGGGUCUGAGAGGAUGAUCCGCCACACUGGAACUGAGACACGGUCCAGACUCCUACGGGAGCCAGCAGUGGGGAAUUUUGGACAAUGGGGGCAACCCUGAUCCAGCCAUGCCGCGUGAGUGAAGAAGGCCUUCGGGUUGUAAAGCUCUUUCGGCCGGGAAGAAAUCGUAUCAGCUAAUACCUGGUGCGGAUGACGGUACCGGCAUAAGAAGCACCGGCUAACUACGUGCCAGCAGCCGCGGUAAUAC